rnacentral:lncRNA from 1 species
UGUGACGCCCCCAAAAUAGGUAUAUAUCACCCAUCUUGAGUCGCCAAAUACAUGGUACAAAAAUACAAAUAUAACUUAAUAAUACAACUGUCGUAUAAAAUACGACAAAACAUAAACUGAGAGUUUUAAUAAGAAUAUUGUCAUCUAGACAAUAUCCACACUCAAUGGAGUCCUCAUUACAUUUAUUGUCACACUAUUUAACAGAAUAGUGAGGACUACUA